GCCACCAGAUGUCGUUUCAAUGACGCAUGAGCUCUUUCGCUGACGUGGCAUCUCGACCGCGUUCUGGUUCUGCUUUCCAUUAAAUUCCAUUCCAAGGCGAGUUAGCCUGGAAGAAACUUCUUUUGCGGUGUUAACAGUUUUUUCAGAAACAACCUCGUAGAAAUGUCCAAAUAUUGCAUAUGGAGUGUCUCUUGUAACGUUUACCUCAAAACUUCCAUCAAUUGUCAUCGAAUAAACACAAAAAAGAGGCAGAUUUUCAACUGUGCAUUUCGAAAAUGAUUAAGAACAAGAUGUCGGCAAGGAUGAGUGGCAGCGAUUUCUCCAACAAGAUGGCGCGCCAUUACACUAUGCCGUUCCUGUUCGAGUUUAUUUCACCAAUUAUUUCUCAAUCGAUGGACUGUGUUAGAAGAGGGCCAAUUGAAAAGCCUUAAUAUCACCGGACUUCUCCCUUUAGGGAUAUCUGAAGAGUAAUGUUUACACCACUGGACCAAAUACUUUGGAUGAACAAAGAACAAAAAAUCAGAAUCCGAGAAGUUCCCAAGGUGCCCAAGGUGAUGCCAACCCUUUAAAAGUACAGAUAGUACCGAUUUGUAUCAGUUGUGUUACAAGAAAGUUAUUUUGCUAACAAUGUGAUGACACCAACUAUGGUUUUCCUGUGUCUAACUUUUGAAGACAAUUCCUCUGUUUAACAGCUUGUGUGUGAAGUACAUGGAUUUCAGAUGGUCAAUCAUUGUGCAACUAAAAUGGGGCCAUUACAUUGAUAAUAAAUAUUUUGUUUGAAAUUCAAUGAAACUUCCUUCAGUAGGCCUAUCAAAUUAAUUACGAAAAAUGAAAAUUGAUGCUGAACAUAACUUUCCACUGUCACAUAUCAGACCAACAUAAAUUUGUGUAUUAUUUCCACAAUAUGCUGCUGAGAUAUCUCAAUGAUUUCAUAUUUAUGAUGUGUAGUUAGGAAUCAGUCUUUUAUGGCUGUGCUAUUGAUUGGUACACAAACGUUCUACCAAGAAUAAUUGCCAGAGAGUUUGAAUAAUUCUUUGUGGAACGCAUGUGUAUGUGCAACCUGUACAUUUUGGGAUCUGCUUUUUUGAUCAUUUGUUUUAUUAAAAUUCCCAAAAUGUAAUUCUUCCUUAUAACUCUGCUUAUUUUUCUGUGUACUGGAUAUUAUGUAACUGUUCCCACAGUUGUUAUGAGUCGUUCAAACUUCUGUAUAAGUAUCAUUUUUAAAAUUAUAACCAAGAACCCAAAUAUUAAUAAUAUACGUUUCACGCAA